AGCAGCCGUGCCUGUGCGCCGCUUGUUCCACGAUCCAGAAAAAUGUUUGUAAAGAUGAUGUUUUCCUGUUUGGACUGUGAUAGGUAGCCAUUGCAUUUGAUGAAUCGACGAUGUGUAAACGAGGAGACGUGUAAAGAGGCGUGUAUCCUAGCAACAAGGAGGUCAUGGAUUGUGACUGUGGGCAGAGAGGCAGAGGUGGUCCUGUCUUCUUCUUUGACCAGCCAACAAGACAGAAGUGGAUUCAAAGCAACAUUUUACACUUUUACAUCACAAGUGGAGGGUCACAGCUGGAUGGCCCUCAGCUAAG